UGGGGAAUUUUGCACAAUGGGGGAAACCCUGAUGCAGCGACGCCGCGUGAUUUAGAAGGCCUUCGGGUUGUAAAAAUCUUUUCUAUGGGAAGAAAAUGACAGUACCAUAGGAAUAAGGACCGGCUAAUUACGUGCCAGCAGCCGCGGUAAUACGUAAGGUCCGAGCGUUGUCCGGAAUCAUUGGGCGUAAAGGGUACGUAGGCGGGUAAGCAAGUUAGAAGUGAAAUCCUAUAGCUCAACUAUAGUAAGCUUUUAAAACUGCUCAUCUUGAGGUAUGGAAGGGAAAGUGGAAUUCCUAGUGUAGCGGUGAAGUGCGCAGAUAUUAGGAGGAAUACCGGUGGCGAAGGCGACUUUCUGGCCAUAACCUGACGCUGAGGUACGAAAGCGUGGGUAGCAAACAGG
rnacentral:rRNA from 1 species